rnacentral:rRNA from 1 species
GAUGAACGCUAGCUACAGGCUUAACACAUGCAAGUCGAGGGACCGGCGCACGGGUGAGUAACACGUACCCAACCUGCCCUUUACUCGGGGAUAGCCUUUCGAAAGAAAGAUUAAUACCCGAUGUCAAGGAUGGGGAUGCGUUCCAUUAGGUUGUUGGUGAGGUCACGGCCCACCAAGCCUUCCAUGGAUGGGGGUUCGGAGAGGAAGGUCCCCCACAUUGGAACUGAGACACGGUCCAAACUCCUACGGAAGGCAGGAGUGAUGAAUAUUGGUCAAUGAGCGUUAGCCUGAACCAGCCAAGUAGCGUGAAGGAUGAAGGCUUAUGAGUCGUAAACUUCUUUUAUAUAAGAAUAUGUAUUAUAUGAAUAAGGAUCGGCUAACUCCGUGCCAGCAGCCGCGGUAAUAC